rnacentral:rRNA from 1 species
UAGGGAAUCUUCCGCAAUGGACGCAAGUCUGACGGAGCAACGCCGCGUGAGUGAAGAAGGAUUUCGGUUCGUAAAACUCUGUUGUUAGAGAAGAACAGCGCAUAGAGUAACUGUUAUGCGUGUGACGGUAUCUAACCAGAAAGCCACGGCUAACUACGUGCCAGCAGCCGCGGUAAUACGUAGGUGGCAAGCGUUGUCCGGAUUUAUUGGGCGUAAAGCGAGCGCAGGCGGUCAAUUAAGUCUGAUGUGAAAGCCCCCGGCUCAACCGGGGAGGGUCAUUGGAAACUGGUUGACUUGAGUGCAGAAGAGGAGAGUGGAAUUCCAUGUGUAGCGGUGAAAUGCGUAGAUAUAUGGACGAACACCAGUGGCGAAGGCGACUCUCUGGUCUGUAACUGACGCUGAGGCUCGAAAGCGUGGGUAGCAAACAGG